CAUAGCCUAAAGAUUAUUUUAGGUAAAUUCUGCUCAAUGAAUUAAAUAGCCGCAGUAAACUGACUGUGCAAAGGUAGCAUAAUAAAUUGGUCUUUAAUUGUGAUCUUGUAUGAAUGGAAAAUAUAUAUUCUGUCUGUUUUAUAAUAAAUAAAAUUACUAAAAAGGUGAAAAUUCCUUUAACUAUUGAAAGACGAGAAGACCCUUAGAAUUUUUAUUAUAUUUGUUGGGGCGACAGAUUACUCAUAAACAUAAUUUAAUUUUUAACAAGGCAAGAAUGUUUAAAUUACCUAAGGGAUAACAGCAUUAUUUUAUGUUUAUGACCUCGAUGUUGGACUAGGAAAACAUGGCAAGCAGUCAUUAUUGUUCUGUUCGAACCCUACGUGAU
rnacentral:rRNA from 1 species